CCCGCUCGCGCCUCUCCCUCCAUACCUCCCUGCAAGCUGAGGGAGUGGGCUCCGGCCUUGGCCAGCUCAGAAAGGGGCUCCCACAGUGCAGCGGCGGGCUGAAGGGCUCCUCAAGUGCCGCCAAAGUGGGAGCCCAGGCAGAGGAGGCGCAGAGAGCUAGCGAGGGCUGUGAGGACUGCCAGCACGCUGUCACCUCUCAGUGUCCAGGAAGGAAAUAAUCUGGAGAGAAAGUGAGGCAUUUAUUGCAGGGCACCAAGCAAGGAGAAUUGUGCAGUUCAUCCUGAAGACCCAAACUCCCUGAAGUCUUACAUGAUAUUCCAGACUUGUGCUUCCCUUGCCCCAGUCUUGGAAUCACCCAUUUUGACUCAACCAGUAGACAGGACUAUGGCUGGAUGUUGGAGAGAAGCGGCUUGACUUCAGAAGGACAGCUUGAUGGCGUAACUUCAGAGAAGAAUCCGUCCAGAGAUGGCCAGACUUCAGGGGAAGAUUACCUACCUGCCCCGUCCCCUUUUUACUUCCCCUUCCCACUGAAAGCCACAUUCAUUGGUAAUAAAAUGCCC
rnacentral:lncRNA from 1 species